rnacentral:rRNA from 1 species
UACGUAGGGUGCGAGCGUUAAUCGGAAUUACUGGGCGUAAAGCGUGCGCAGGCGGUUUUGCAAGCCGGAUGUGAAAUCCCCGGGCUCAACCUGGGAAUGGCAUUCGGGACUGCAAGGCUGGAGUGCGGCAGAGGAGACUGGAAUUCCUGGUGUAGCAGUGAAAUGCGUAGAUAUCAGGAGGAAUACCGAUGGCGAAGGCAGGUCUCUGGGCUGACACUGACGCUCAUGCACGAAAGCGUGGGGAGCAAGCAGG